AAAAUGGAUGCUGAGGCAGCAGUUCCAUGGAGUAGCUUAACUGAACUCUGGACCAAAGGGGUCUUUAAAACACAAUACAUUUCAUAUCUUCAGGACAGCUCUGUGUGUGAAGACGGAUGGUCACGAUACAUGACUUCAGGGUUUCUUGUAAUUUGGAGGCUAUAAAAGAAGCAUGACAUCUCUGUCUUCUAGGAGUUCACAGUUUGCAGACACAUAAACAAC